rnacentral:rRNA from 1 species
UGAAUGGCAUCACGAGGGCUUAACUGUCUCCCCUCCCCAGUCAAUGAAAUUGAUCUCCCCGUGCAGAAGCGGGGAUAAUACCAUAAGACGAGAAGACCCUAUGGAGCUUUAGACGUCAGAGCAGCCCAUGUAAAGCACCCCUUAACAAAGGAAAAAACCAAAUGAAGCCUGCCCUAAUGUCUUUGGUUGGGGCGACCGCGGGGAAAUACAAAACCCCCAUGUGGAGUAGGAAUACACAUUCCUAAACCCAAGAGCUCCCGCUCUAAUGAACAGAAAUUCUGACCAAUAAGAUCCGGCACACGCCGAUCAACGGACCGAGUUACCCUAGGGAUAACAGCGCAAUCCCCUUAAAGAGCCCUUAUCGACAAGGGGGUUUACGACCUCGAUGUUGGAUCAGGACAUCCUAAUGGUGCAGCCGCUAUUAAGGGUUCGUUUGUUCAACGAU